rnacentral:rRNA from 1 species
UACGUAGGUGGCAAGCGUUGUCCGGAAUUAUUGGGCGUAAAGCGCGCGCAGGCGGUCCUUUAAGUCUGAUGUGAAAGCCCACGGCUCAACCGUGGAGGGUCAUUGGAAACUGGGGGACUUGAGUACAGAAGAGAAGAGUGGAAUUCCACGUGUAGCGGUGAAAUGCGUAGAUAUCUGGAGGAACACCGGUGGCGAAGGCGGCAUCCUGGACCAAUACUGACACUGAGGAGCGAAAGCCAGGGGAGCAAACGGG